rnacentral:rRNA from 1 species
CCUACGGGUGGCUGCAGUGGGGAAUAUUGGACAAUGGGGGCAACCCUGAUCCAGCCAUGCCGCGUGUGUGAAGAAGGCCCUCGGGUUGUAAAGCACUUUCAGUGAGGAAGAACGCCUGGUGGUUAAUACCCAUCAGGAAAGACAUCACUCACAGAAGAAGCACCGGCUAACUCCGUGCCAGCAGCCGCGGUAAUACGGAGGGUGCGAGCGUUAAUCGGAAUUACUGGGCGUAAAGCGCGCGUAGGUGGCUUGAUAAGCCGGUUGUGAAAGCCCCGGGCUCAACCUGGGAACGGCAUCCGGAACUGUCAAGCUAGAGUGCAGGAGAGGAAGGUAGAAUUCCCGGUGUAGCGGUGAAAUGCGUAGAGAUCGGGAGGAAUACCAGUGGCGAAGGCGGCCUUCUGGACUGACACUGACACUGAGGUGCGAAAGCGUGGGUAGCAAACAGGAUUAGAUAUCCCAGUAGUC